rnacentral:lncRNA from 9 species
AUACGCUGGCCAGUGGUCAGCUAGAAACUAAUUAUUUAGCUCCUCCCUGAGGGUGGGAAGUUAGGGCUCAAGCUUUUCCUCUUCUCUUGCAGCUACCUCCAUCAUUGUUUCUUCUGCAGCUGAAUAGGCUGGCAGGCAGCCUGAAAUGGGGACCUGCUCAGAAGACCCCCACCCCUGCUGGGCAUCCCGGCUCCUCGGACUCAUCAGUCUCUUUCUCAGCGUCUACAGCAGUGGGACCAAUAGUGAUGGAGGUCCUGGUCCUGGAGUUCAGGAUUCUGGAGCUCCUUAUCCUCUGCAGGGGAUCCGAGGAGGUUCUGUGCUGUUUCCUUUGCCCAAGAAUCAAAACGCUGAGCCGGAGGAGGUUGCGUGGGGCUUUGGUCCUGGGUCAGAGUACAGAAUCCUGCUGCGAGUCCGUCCUGGGGAAGCUCCAAUAUGGGUCAACCUCCAGGACAGGUACCAGCAGAGGGUCCAUGUGCCCAACAUGACGUCCCUGAAGAUUGAGAACCUGACCUCCGAGGACAGUGGGCUGUACCGGGCUCGAGGCAUCUUCACUGAAGGAGUAGAAUUUACCCAUGUUUUCCACCUCACUGUCUAUGAGCCUAUACCCAGUCCUGAGAUUCUGGCUGGGCCACGAUCCAUCACACCAGGCUGGUGCAAUGUCACCCUGGAGUGUGGGCCCAGAGGAGCCACAAAGGACCUGAAUGUGACCUGGAAGAGGGAGUACAUCCCUGAGGAGCUGGAGCAGACAGGGACACUGGGACCUGCCUCAAACUCCCACACCCUGGCUGUGAGGCUGCCCCUGAGUCAGCCCUACUCCAGUAUCACCUGCGUGGUCAGCAACCAGAUGGACCAGAAAACUGCUACCGUAGGUCUUGGGGAAGUCUGUGCCCAUGGUUCUCAAGGACUGCCCAUUGCUGGCUCCCUAGGAGCCAUUGUGGUUCUGCUGCUGAUCCUGGGAUCUGGACUGUGUUUUUGGAAGAAAUGUGGAAAGAAGAAGAUAGAGAUGAGAAGAGGUGCAGGAUCACCAGAGGACCAAAAAGAUGAUGACAGCAUCCAGUAUGUGGAGCUGAACCAGCAGGAAUCUCAAGAGGGCUUGUACAUGGGUGUCAGUGAACAACAUUCAGGGCCUCUCACUACUAUCUACAGUGAAGUCUGUAAGCCAGGCCAUGCUAUGAAGAUAAUUUAA